GACGAACGCUGGCGGCGUGCUUAACACAUGCAAGUCGAACGGAAAGGCCCUGCUUGCCGGGUACUCGAGUGGCGAACGGGUGAGUAACACGUGGGUGAUCUGCCCUGCACUUCGGGAUAAGCUUGGGAAACUGGGUCUAAUACCGGAUAGGAGCCAUCUUUAGUGUGGUGGUUGGAAGGUUUUUUCGGUGUAGGAUGAGCUCGCGGCCUAUCAGCUUGUUGGUGGGGUAAUGGCCUACCAAGGCGGCGACGGGUAGCCGGCCUGAGAGGGUGUACGGCCACAUUGGGACGGAGAUACGGCCCAGACUCCUACGGGAGGCAGCAGUGGGGAAUAUUGCACAAUGGGCGCAAGCCUGAUGCAGCGACGCCGCGUGGGGGAUGAAGGCCUUCGGGUUGUAAACUCCUUUCGCUAGGGACGAAGCCUUUUUGUGACGGUACCUAGAGAAGAAGCACCGGCUAACUACGUG
rnacentral:rRNA from 1 species